rnacentral:tRNA from 1 species
AGGGAAAUAGCUCAGUGGUAGAGUGCAUGCUUAGCAUGCACGAGGUCCUGGGUUCAAUCCCCAGUACCUG